rnacentral:rRNA from 1 species
UACAGAGGUCUCAAGCGUUGUUCGGAUUCAUUGGGCGUAAAGGGUGUGUAGGUGGCGCGCUAAGUCGGGUGUGAAAUUUCGGAGCUUAACUCCGAAACUGCAUUCGAUACGGGCGUGCUUGAGGACUGGAGAGGAGACUGGAAUUCAUGGUGUAGCAGUGAAAUGCGUAGAGAUCAUGAGGAAGACCAGUGGCGAAGGCGGGUCUCUGGACAGUUCCUGACACUGAGACACGAAGGCCAGGGGAGCAAACGGG